UUAUUGGAGAGUUUGAUCCUGGCUCAGGACGAACGCUGGCGGCAUGCCUAAUACAUGCAAGUCGAGCGGACUUGAUGAGAAGCUUGCUUCUCUGAUGGUUAGCGGCGGACGGGUGAGUAACACGUAGGCAACCUGCCCUCAAGCUUGGGACAACUACCGGAAACGGUAGCUAAUACCGAAUACUUGUUUUCUUCGCCUGAAGGAAACUGGAAAGAUGGAGCAAUCUAUCACUUGAGGAUGGGCCUGCGGCGCAUUAGCUAGUUGGUGAGGUAACGGCUCACCAAGGCGACGAUGCGUAGCCGACCUGAGAGGGUGAUCGGCC
rnacentral:rRNA from 1 species